rnacentral:tRNA from 1 species
AUUAUUUUGGCAGAUUAGUGCUUUAAAUUUAGAAUUUAAAUAAAUAUUAUAUAUUAAUAUAAAUAAUA